UACGUAGGGGGCGAGCGUUGUCCGGAAUUAUUGGGCGUAAAGAGCGUGUAGGCGGCCCGGUAAGUCCGCUGUAAAAGUCAAAGGCUCAACCUUUGAAUGUCAGUGGAUACUGCCGGGCUAGAGUCCGGAAGAGGCGAGUGGAACUCCUGGUGUAGCGGUGGAAUGCGCAGAUAUCAGGAAGAACACCAACGGCGAAGGCAGCUCGCUAGGACGGUACUGACGCUGAGACGCGAAAGCGUGGGGAGCGAACAGG
rnacentral:rRNA from 1 species